AGGGGCAGCAGUGACAUCUGAGACUGAAGUGAUAUGGGCAGAGGCUCUGCCCAUAGGAACUUCUGCCCAAAGGGCAGAACUAAUUGCAUUGACCCAAGCAUUAAGAAUGGGGCGGGACCGCAAAGUGACUGUAUAUACAGACAGCCGGUAUGCCUUUGCCACGGCCCAUAUACAUGGGGCAAUAUACCGUGAGAGGGGACUACUCACUGCUAAAGGCAAAGACAUCAGAAAUAAAGAUAAAAUUCUGGCCCUAUUGGCCGCUAUUUGGGCCCCUAAAAAACUGACUAACCUCGCUGACCAGACUGCAUGCCAGGUAGCACAAAACCCCAUUCAAGUACUCCCUGCGCAGCUACCAGACCCAGGGCCCCGAGAUUUACCCCCAUAGCCUGAAUACUCAGAAGAUGAUCUUAUCUGGAUGCGCGAGUUCCCCAUGACCCAAGUUACAGACGGAUGGUGGAGGGACUCCAGAGACCGCCUUAUCCUUCCCGAAAAAUUGGGCCACGCAAUCCUGACAAAAAUACUCCAGAACGCGCACCCACACGCCACAGCCCAAGGCCACUGAAAAAGAGGAACCAUACCAGGAGCCCACUGGGAAGUGGACUUCACCGAGGGCUCUACAGCGGGUUCAUGAGGCCGUGUGGCCUAAACUAAAAGAACUGUAUGAGACGGGGCCCCCACCCACUCCUCAUCAGUAUCGUCCAGGAGACUGGGUCCUCGUCAAGUGACACCGGCAGGAGAACCUUGAACCCAGGUGAAAAGGACCUUACCAAAUCAUCCUGACGACUCCCACCGCCAUCAAGGUAGAUAACCUCCCCACCUGGAUUCACCACACCCACGUGAAGCCUGUCGACCCGCUAUCUGACCUCGUGGGACACACUGAUAAAAAUACUACUUGGACUGUAGACCGGAGUAAGAAAAACCCCCUCAAACUAACCUUGCGCCGUGCCUCCCCUAGACAUGUUCAAGAUAGUAACCCUUGUCCUACUAGCCCUCAACCUCAACCUCCUGGAGGUAGGACUAAAUGCCCCCGUUGACAAACAGAAAUUGUACGGAGCUCUGUAUGGAAGGCCCUGUGAUUGCAGAGGUGGUGUAGUUAGAACCCUUACCCUGCCACAUGGUAACAGACUAGUAGCCGGCUCUGUAGGAAGGGGUGGUCACUAUCAGCGAAGAUACACUCAAACCCAAGACUGUGGGACCACAAUUGCUCACUUAACCCAGACCUAUGACAUCACAGGACCCCAAAAACAGCAGUGGUUAUGUGUUGACAAACGUAAGCCCCUGCCCCCCACAGCAGAAUGCCCUUGCUCUACUUUCCAGGAGUCGAUGCAUAGCUCUUGUUAUGACUCCUAUCAGCAAUGUAUAGGGCCAGACAACUCCACUACCUACUUUACAGCUAUCCUACAGAGUAACAGGGCAGCAAAAGCUAGUGAUAAUAAUA